UACCAGCACCCCGAGUGGUCGGGACGUUUAUUGGGCCUAAAGCAUCCGUAGCCGGUUCUACAAGUCUUCCGUUAAAUCCAACUGCUUAACAGGUGGGCUGCGGAAGAUACUAUAGAGCUAGGAGGCGGGAGAGGCAAGCGGUACUCGAUGGGUAGGGGUAAAAUCCGUUGAUCCAUUGAAGACCACCAGUGGCGAAGGCGGCUUGCCAGAACGCGCUCGACGGUGGAGGGAUGAAAGCUGGGGGAGCAACCGG
rnacentral:rRNA from 1 species